rnacentral:rRNA from 1 species
UAAUACAGAGGGUGCAAGCGUUAAUCGGAAUUACUGGGCGUAAAGGGCGCGUAGGUGGUUGACUAAGUCAGAUGUGAAAUCCCUGGGCUUAACCUAGGAAUUGCGUUUGAUACUGGUCGGCUAGAGUGUGGGAGAGGGAAGUGGAAUUUCAAGUGUAGCGGUGAAAUGCGUAGAUAUUUGAAGGAACACCAGUGGCGAAGGCGACUUCCUGGACCACUACUGACACUGAGGCGCGAAAGCGUGGGGAGCGAACAGGAUUAGAUACCCUGGUAGUCCACGCCGUAAACGAUGAGAACUAGAUGUUAGGGAGCUUAGACUCUUUAGUAUCGCAGCUAACGCGAUAAGUUCUCCGCCUGGGGAGUACGGCCGCAAGGUUA